ensembl:lncRNA
CUUUCCCCUCCCUCUCUCUCACUCUCCCUCCCGCAUUCCCACUAUCUCUCUCUCUUUCCCCUCCCUCUCAUCCCUCUCACUCUCCCUCCCUCCCACAUUCCCACUAUCUCUCUCUCUUUCCCCUCCCUCUCUCUCAAUAUCUCUCUCUCUUUCCCCUCCCUCUCUCUCACUCUCCCUCCCGCAUUCCCACUAUCUCUCUCUCUUUCUCCUCCCUCUCACUCACUCUCCCUCCCUCCCACAUUCCCACUAUCUCUCUCUCUUUCCGCUCCCUCUCUCUCUCCAUCUCUCUCUGACACCAUCUGUUCCUCUCUCUAGUCGUCUGUGUGGUUUUCACACGUCCUGGGUGUGUUUUGGCCACAUUCACUUUCAUCAUGUGAGACAAAGAGUGAGGAAGAGGAAGAGGGGGGGAAGAGGGGAAGUGGAGGAAGAAAGAGAGGUAGAGAGAGACAAGGGAGAGAGCAAAAGAGAGAGAGAGAUGAGGGAGGGAGAUGACAGGGGGAGAGGGGGAGAUGGAUAGGAGGGUUAUGUCAAAAAGUUGCAUGUCGGGGAGCAUUUUUUGCAUUUUAGCUAACCCUAACCCUUUUCCUAACCUGCUAAAUUAAUGUCCUAACCUGCUGUGUAAGUUCUCCUGACCUGCUAAAUAAUGUCCUAACCUGUGUAAGUUCCCCCUGACCUGCUAAAUAAAUGUCCUAACCUUCUGUGUAAGUUUUUCUGACGUGCAACGAAAAGUUAAAUCUGACUGUAGCUGUAUACCAUCUAGUCAAAACCAGAGAGGAAGGGGCGGAGAGAGCUAAUUAUGUAGAGAAAGAGAGACAGAGAGAGUCUGUCGUUCGCUUCUUUAUUUCAAUUCCUAACAAGUGGUUUUCUAUGUUCAUCCUCCUCCUCCUCACAGUCCUCCUUCACACUAUGUUCAUCAUCAUCCUCCUCCUCCUCAAAGUCCUCCUUCACACUAUGUUCAUCAUCAUCCUCCUCCUCCUCACAGUCCUCCUUCACACUAUGUUCAUCAUCCUCCUCACAGUCCUCCUUCACACUAUGUUCAUCAUCAUCCUCCUCCUCACAGUCCUCCUUCACACUAUGUUCAUCAUCAUCCUCCUCCUCCUCACAGUCCUCCUUCACACUAUGUUCAUCAUCAUCCUCACAGUCCUCCUUCACACUAUGUUCAUCCUCCUCCUCACAGUCCUCCUUCACACUAUGUUCAUCAUCCUCCUCCUCCUCCUCACAGUCCUCCUUCACACUAUGUUCAUCAUCAUCCUCCUCCUCACAGUCCUCCUUCACACUAUGUUCAUCAUCAUCCUCCUCCUCCUCACAGUCCUCCUUCACACUAUGUUCAUCAUCAUCCUCCUCCUCCUCACAGUCCUCCUUCACACUAUGUUCAUUAUCCUCCUCCUCACAGUCCUCCUUCACACUAUGUUCAUCAUCCUCCUCCUCACAGUCCUCCUUCACACUAUGUUCAUCAUCAUCCUCCUCCUCCUCACAGUCCUCCUUCACACUAUGUUCAUCAUCAUCCUCCUCCUCCUCACAGUCCUCCUUCACACUAUGUUCAUCAUCAUCCUCCUCCUCACAGUCCUCCUUCACACUAUGUUCAUCAUCCUCCUCCUCCUCACAGUCCUCCUUCACACUAUGUUCAUCAUCAUCCUCCUCCUCCUCACAGUCCUCCUUCACACUAUGUUCAUCAUCCUCCUCCUCCUCACAGUCCUCCUUCACACUAUGUUCAUCAUCCUCCUCCUCCUCACAGUCCUCCUUCACACUAUGUUCAUCCUCCUCCUCACAGUCCUCCUUCACACUAUGUUCAUCAUCAUCCUCCUCCUCCUCACAGUCCUCCUUCACACUAUGUUCAUCAUCCUCCUCCUCACAGUCCUCCUUCACACUAUGUUCAUCAUCCUCCUCCUCCUCACAGUCCUCCUUCACACUAUGUUCAUCAUCCUCCUCUCCUCACAGUCCUCCUUCACACUAUGUUCAUCAUCCUCCUCCUCCUCACAGUCCUCCUUCACACUAUGUUCAUCAUCAUCCUCACAGUCCUCCUUCACACUAUGUUCAUCCUCCUCCUCACAGUCCUCCUUCACACUAUGUUCAUCAUCCUCCUCCUCCUCCUCACAGUCCUCCUUCACACUAUGUUCAUCAUCAUCCUCCUCCUCACAGUCCUCCUUCACACUAUGUUCAUCAUCAUCCUCCUCCUCCUCACAGUCCUCCUUCACACUAUGUUCAUCAUCAUCCUCCUCCUCCUCACAGUCCUCCUUCACACUAUGUCAUUAUCCUCCUCCUCACAGUCCUCCUUCACACUAUGUUCAUCAUCCUCCUCCUCACAGUCCUCCUUCACACUAUGUUCAUCAUCAUCCUCCUCCUCCUCACAGUCCUCCUUCACACUAUGUUCAUCAUCAUCCUCCCUCCUCCUCACAGUCCUCCUUCACACUAUGUUCAUCAUCAUCCUCCUCCUCACAGUCCUCCUUCACACUAUGUUCAUCAUCAUCCUCCUCCUCACAGUCCUCCUUCACACUAUGUUCAUCAUCCUCCUCCUCACAGUCCUCCUUCACACUAUGUUCAUCAUCAUCCUCCUCCUCCUCACAGUCCUCCUUCACACUAUGUUCAUCAUCAUCCUCCUCCUCCUCACAGUCCUCCUUCACACUAUGUUCAUCAUCAUCCUCCUCCUCACAGUCCUCCUUCACACUAUGUUCAUCAUCCUCCUCCUCCUCACAGUCCUCCUUCACACUAUGUUCAUCAUCAUCCUCCUCCUCCUCACAGUCCUCCUUCACACUAUGUUCAUCAUCCUCCUCCUCCUCACAGUCCUCCUUCACACUAUGUUCAUCAUCCUCCUCCUCCUCACAGUCCUCCUUCACACUAUGUUCAUCCUCCUCCUCACAGUCCUCCUUCACACUAUGUUCAUCAUCAUCCUCCUCCUCCUCACAGUCCUCCUUCACACUAUGUUCAUCAUCCUCCUCCUCACAGUCCUCCUUCACACUAUGUUCAUCAUCCUCCUCCUCCUCACAGUCCUCCUUCACACUAUGUUCAUCAUCCUCCUCCUCCUCACAGUCCUCCUUCACACUAUGUUCAUCAUCCUCCUCCUCCUCACAGUCCUCCUUCACACUAUGUUCAUUAUCCUCCUCCUCACAGUCCUCCUUCACCACUAUGUUCAUUAUCCUCCGCCUCACAGUCCUCCUUCACACUAUGUUCAUCCUCCUCCUCACAGUCCUCCUUCACACUAUGUUCAUCCUCCUCCUCACAGUCCUCCUUCACACUAUGUUCAUCAUCCUCCUCCUCCUCACAGUCCUCCUUCACACUAUGUUCAUCAUCCUCCUCCUCCUCACAGUCCUCCUUCACACUAUGUUCAUCCUCCGCCUCACAGUCCUCCUUCACACUAUGUUCCAAUCACCCAAACCCAGUUCCAACCACCCAACCACCCAAACCCAGUUCCAACCACCCAACCACCCAAACCCAGUUCCAACCACCCAAACCCAGUUCCAACCACCCAAACCCAGUUCCAAACACCCAAACCCAGUUCCAACCACCCAAACCCAGGUCCAACCACCCAACCACCCAAACCCAGUUCCAACCACCCAACCACCCAACCACCCAAACCCAGUUCCAACCACCCAACCACCCAAACCCAGUUCCAACCACCCAAACCCAGUUCCAAACACCCAAACCCAGUUCCAACCACCCAAACCCAGUUCCAACCACCCAACCACCCAAACCCAGUUCCAACCACCCAACCACCCAAACCCAGUUCCAAACACCCAAACCCAGUUCCAACCACCCAACCACCCAAACCCAGUUCCAACCACCCAACCAUCCAAACCCAGUUCUAACCACCCAAACCCAGUUCCAACCACCCAACCAUCCAAACCCAGUUCUAACCACCCAAACCCAGUUCUAACCACCCAACCACCCAAACCCAGUUCCAACCACCCAACCAUCCAAACCCAGUUCUAACCACCCAAACCCAGUUCCAACCACCCAACCACCCAAACCCAGUUCCAACCACCCAACCAUCCAAACCCAGUUCUAACCACCCCAACCACCCAAACCCAGUUCCAACCAACCACCCAACCACCCAAACCCAGUUCCAACCACCCAACCAUCCAAACCCAGUUCUAACCACCCAACCACCCAAACCCAGUUCCAACCACCCAACCACCCAACCACCCAAACCCAGUUCCAACCACCCAACCAUCCAAACCCAGUUCUAACCACCCAACCACCCAAACCCAGUUCCAACCACCCAACCACCCAACCACCCAAACCCAGUUCCAACCACCCAACCACCCAACCAUCCAAACCCAGUUCUAACCACCCAAACCCAGUUCCAAC